CAAUCAUUCUCGUAGCUUGGCCAAGGAAAAACAGAGAUCAUUUUCGCUGAGAGACAGAGACAGAGACAGAGAGCUGCGGGGAUGGGUGGUUUGUGGGAGAUACUGAAGAGAGAGCGAGAGAGAGUCGCAGCGAUGGGUGGUUUUUGGGAGUGCGGUGAGAUAGCGGAAAUGAUAGGUGGCUUGUGGGAGACACUGAUGCAUCCAGACGAAAUCUACCUGUUGAUAAAACUGGGACUGCGGAUCUGCACAUCAGAGAAUCGAACACCUCCUGAGUCACAGUUGGCCUUCUGCUACAAAGUGAUCCCAAAGAUCACCCUCGCCUACAGGCUCGUCCCCUCCCUUGAGCAGGUCGACCCUAAGAUGGUGAAUGCUGUGGCGAUCUUUUACUUUGUUCUUCGCGCUCUCGAUACUGUGGAGGAUGAUAUGAGCUUGUCUUCAGAAGUAAAAAAACAGAUCCUCGAAAAUUUCCACAAUCACCUCUACGACCAUGACUGGCACUUCUCCUGUGGUUCAUCUAAAUAUCACAGAGCCCUCAUGGACCAAUUCCAUCUCAUCCGACAAGCUUUCUUGGAGCUCGAUAAUAGUUAUCAAGAGGUGAUCAAGGAUGUUACUAAAACAAUGGGAGCAGGAAUGGCAACAUUCAUAGACAAGGAGAUUGUGACGAUCAAAGACUGGAACGAGUAUGGCCACUAUGUUGCUGGAAUUGUUGCGGUUGCGCUACUCAAAAUGUACUUUCAACCCUCAAGAAUCGAAGACUUAGAUUCAGAAUAUAAUCUGAUGGCCUACUCCUGUGCCAUAUUUGUUAUGAAAGUAGAUAUGAUUCAAGACUAUCUCCAAGAUAUUAAUGAGAUUCCUAGUCCGCGUAUGUUCUGGCCCCGCGAGAUUUGGAGCAAGUACGUGUAUAAAUUGGAGGACUUGAAGUACGAGGAGAACUCUGUCAAGGCAGUCCAGUGCCUAAACGACAUGGUCACGAGCAGUCUGGUCCAUGCGGAAGAUUGCUUGAAGUUCUUGUCGGCUUCGGUUGAUCCUUCCGUGUUUCAAGUUGGCGCAUUCAUUCUGGUUCAGCAAUUUGGAACAUUGGCGUUAUGCUACAACAAUAUCAAUGUCUUCAGAUCCAAAGUUGGCCCGAGACUGGGCCUUAAUGCGAAGAUCAUCGAGAGAACGAGAACAAUGUCCGACGUAUAUGGUGCCUUCUUCGAGUUCUGCAACUUGAUGAAGUCCAAGGUUGAUAAACAUGACCCAAAUGCGACGGAAACAGUGAGCAGACUUGAAGCCAUUCAAAAAAUCUGCAUGGACUCGGGGAUGCUAAAUUACAGUUCUUGUGUGGCAUCCGAUCGACAAAUUGCGGCGAGGUCUUUCUCUGAUGAUUUGUUCUCGAUUUUCUCUUCAGGAAGUUUUAUAUCAUAAGAAGUCAGAAAGGCUACAAUUCAAUUUUGAUUGUGGGGCUUUCGGUGCUAAUCCUGUCAAUCGUUGCUUAUUUAUCAGCUCGUCGUCUUGUUAUUUGAAAUCUUUUUUUUAAGGUAGAUUUGCCCAGGAAAUCUUCGAAGGGCGGUUACGUCACUGCUUAAUAUGUCUCAUAGAAAUAAAGGGAUAAGAGAGAUGUUGAUGAUAAUCUAAUGCUGAGCCUUUGGAUUCCAUGUCAACGUUGCAUCGACCCCUGCUUCUCAUCCUUAUUGUUGGUUUAAUUGUAAUGAAUAAAUGUAAGAUAACGUGUGCCAUGCAAAUUCCGAAUUGAUGCACUAGCUGUUAAUUAAUUAUAUGUAUUGAGGUGUCUUGAUAUUACUUACAAUAGAACGCUAAGCAAUUCUUAGAUUUCUCCAUUGAAUUUUUGUGAGUUUUCCUCAGUGAAGAUGAGGAAUAUUCACAGAACCAUAAGAACACAACAUUCUGACCAUUCACUUCGAAA